AUGGAGGUGGCGGUUCCUGUCAUGGCGCCGAGCGCGCCGUGCAGCCCAAGAACCGCGGCUGCCAUGGGCGGCGGCGGCGGCAGCCAUUUACCUAGCUACUGCUACUUCUUCUCCAGCGCCCCCACCAGCCCGUCCAGGGCCAGCAGCUACGCCGCGGACGAGCAGGGCGACGCCGGGACGUUCGACUUCGCCUUCGGGUUCAGCGGCCAGCUCAGGGAGUCCACGCCCAUCCUCGCCGCCGCCGACGAGCUGUUCGAGGGCGGCAGGAUCCGGCCGCUUAACGGCCCCCGCUGCAGCGGCGGCCUGCUCGCUGACGAGGACUACGCCUCCCUCUCCGUCUCCCCCCGGUCGCCGAGAAGAGCGAGGACGAUGUCCGCGGUGCGCGGCGGCGGCGCAGGGGAUCGGGCUGAGGCGUCGGCCGAUCAGGGCCAGACGAGGGGCAGGUCCGGCCGGCCGGCCCCCGCGUCGUCCUCGUCGGGCGUGUCGUCCCGGAGCCGGAGGGCCACGCGGUCUCUCUCCCCGUACAGGGGCGACCCGAUCGACGACGAGUUCUGCUCCUCCCCACCCUCCCCGCGCGGCGCCGCCUCCCUGAUGCGCGGGUGCGGGAGCGGCAGCCGGAAGUGGCGGCUCAAGGACCUGUUCCUGUUCCGCAGCGCGUCGGAGGGCCGCGCCACCGCCGGCAAGGACCCGCUGCUCAAGUACAGCAUGCUCAAGAGCGGCGGCGACGCGUCGAUGCGGAAGGGGCGGGGCUCGGCGGCGUCGGCCAGCGACAUGGCGCCGUACACGGUGAGCCGGGCGGCGGCCGAGGAGAUGCGGCGGAGGACGACGACGCCGCUGCCGUUCCACCGCAACAGCCUCUUCGGCUACUUCCGGUCCAACCCGGCCAUCCACUCCAUCAGCCGCAAGCUCAGCAGCUACUCCUCGUCGAACUCCAACCGCGGCCGGAGCGCCACCGCCGCCGCCAACUGA
rnacentral:rRNA from 1 species